rnacentral:lncRNA from 12 species
GCUUUGCAUGUUGGGAACUGGAUAAAGUGUUUCUUUAAUACACAGUCUGAUGUCGGUGUUUGCUGUCAGGUGGAUUAUCGUGGAGACCUGACGUUUAUUUCCAGUGAUUUUCUGCAUCCAUGGAGCGGACGGUCCCGCGACGUGGGGAGCAAUGCGUUCUCGGUCUGGAAGGUGUCAAGGAGGAUCCCGUGUCCCAUUAAAGAAUGUCUCACCACUGGGGUAUUUGGUGUUCCCCGGAGUUGCAGUCUGAGGAGCACUGCUGGGGUGAGCACGUCCAGAUGCGACUGUGCCAGCGUCACCCUCGGGGACCGCAGACCCAGAACUGCUGUUACAGCGGAUGCACCUGAACAGUUUCAUAGCGACCGUACGAGGCUCUUCAGUCGGUGAUGUAAAUGUACGCCCCGACGUCCUGUUUGUAAGAGUUCCUUCUUCCCAGACCUCACAAUUCCGUGUUCGGAUUUGUUAAUUUUUACAGAAGGAUCAUCUGUGAGAUUAUGUCUUGGAUGCAUAUGAUCCUAAUGAACAUUAAUGCUGGUAUUUUUUCAUAAACUCGUUUACUCUUUGGUCUUCUGUAUGAAUGAUCUGUUUUCACUAUGUCUCCAUUUUUCUCUUAUAGAUCUCUUUAUCUAUUUAUGCCUUUUUUAUUGGAUUGCAAAAGGGGAAAGAAAAGAUUGCAAAAGGUUUUUAUAAUCUGGAUAGUGAAUUAAAUUACAGCAAUUACAAAUGACUUCUCAAACUUAAUUGCAGCCUUCCAAUUUCUAAGAUGCAUUUUUAAAUUUUGAAGUUUCUAAGUAGAAACCAUUGUGCUCAUCAAUAAUGAACAUUGUCUCCCUUCAGGACUGUUUACUGUUCACUAAAAUGGCAACAAUAUUUCAUUUUAAAGGCUGAUAUAAGGUUUUGGUAGAUACUUAAAAAAAAACCCUCAAAUUUGGGACGUCCUGUU